ensembl:rRNA 5S_rRNA 5S ribosomal RNA
UACGGCCACACCACCCUGAACGUGCCCGAUCUCGUCUGAUCUCGGAAGCUAAGCAGGGUCGGGCCUGGUUAGUACUUGGAUGGGAGACAUGUCUGGUAAACGGUUAGCAUCCAAAA